GCUGCCGCUGGGGGCCCUUUCUCGGCGCUCUUGUCCCCGGGGUAGUCGGAGGAGGCGAGGUUUUCCGGGGUGCCGUAGGCCGUCUCGAAAAACUGGUCAAAAGCCUGGGGCAGAACGCCGUUCCUGCCCACCGUGCUAUAGAAAUUGGACGAGACGGCGGGGGUGGGGUGGUGGUAGACGUUGGCCGAGCUCUUGGCCAGCACGUCGCCAGGCACGCCGGCCGCGCUGGGCGCCUGCAGACAGUCUCUGUGCACGAGCUCCUCCGCGGAGUAGCAGUGGGCCAGAUUGCCGCGGGGGUGCCAUUUAGUGGCGGGCUCAAUGGCGUACUCUCUGAAGGUCACUUCGCGCACGGGUUGGACCUGGGGCAGGUUGGAGGAGUAGGAGUAUGUCAUUGGGCGCGAAGACGGGGUCUGGGGCAGAAAAGAAGGGAGGCUGGAGAAAUCUGGACCCGAGACGUAGUAAGUACAACUUGGCAAAUACAUGUUAGAGGAGCAGGGACCACGCUCAUCAAAAUCCAUCAUUGGGCUACCUUGGGCUCUCCGCAGUAGCCGAGCUUAACAUGAUUCUCCACUGCAGCUGCCUCUUUGAAGCGGAUCCGUGAAGUAGAAAUUUGGAGACGUAAGCUGACGUGGAAAUCUAUCCCCAUCCUUAGCAGGGAGGUGCUGGUCAUGUGACCCGAUGUUGAAAUUGACAAGCUGCGAGCUAGUCCCGGCUUUUUUUUUUUUUUAAACCCCCCUCCCUUUCCUUUUUUCCCCCCUCCCCUCCCUCCCCGGCUUCCUUUCUUUGUAGCCACCUCAGGGGAAGCAACAGAUCGUCACUCGGUGUUCUCACCGAAAGCACGUAAUCGCCGGUGUAACUCAUGUUGGCUGGGGGGCCUCCCCGCGCGCAGAAAGGCUGGGGUGCGCCCCCAAGCAACUCUCCUGUGCUCAGCUACAUGGUCCUGGUCCACGAGUGCGCUGAGGUCGGCGAGAGAGGGCAACUCCCGACGCCUCCCCCCCACUCCCCGGUGGGUGAAGGAUGCUCUGGGCUGGGGAUGGCCAGGUGAAAGCCCGGAACUGUGUGACUCCAGGUCUCGGAGUCUGUUAUCCGAAGGCUUACGUUCGCCACCUCCUUCUUCGCCCCCCACCCCCAGGCUUGCUCUGGGAAACACCUCAGCCUCAGACCCAGGCUGGACCCCAUUUGGGGCCAGGCUUCGCAGCCGUGGAUGUGCCGGCCUCGUGGCUUGUCCGAUUUGCACGGUGACUUGAUUACACGCUCUCAUUCAUGGUCACUUCCGAAGCGCUUUAGUGCCUUCCGUCCCCAAACCGCCAACAGGCAGAGCAGCUUUCCUCCGCGGUUUGUCAAUAAUCCGCGCGGUCCGGAAGGGCCUUCGCCUCACCCGGGUUCCACCUUCCCUGUAUCUUUUUGCUUACUUCCCUUGGAGGAACCCCCUUCUCCUCGCUGCCUGUAGGGGUUCGGAGGGACUCCGCAGAGCCAGAGGCACUGGGACGGCACUUCUGCUCACCGGUCCGCAAGCUGCCUAGUCUGCUGAAGCUGACGAAUCGGGAAACCAGGCAAUUGAGGCGAACCUUGGGCUGUUUUAGAGGCGCUGACAUCCGAGGAGCCUUCUCCUGGGAGGCCGAAGGUCGAUCUCAGCCCACCAGGCUCUGGGAAAGACCGGACUAGGGAUAAGACCACACCGGAAGGCCAAGUCCGAGUUCCAUUCCUAGGAGAGGCGGCUGCCGGCAAGGCUAUGACAUUGGCCCUGGACAUUGGUUUCUGAGGAGCUGUUCUUUCUCAAGAACUCCACAGCGCGGGCUGUCUCCAGAAAACACUCCUCAACGUUUAUUUCCUUUAAUCGUCAACCCGGAGCCCUACGGCGGCUAAUGCAAGAGGCCAAAAAUGUUUGGAGGAAGAAAAACAAAGGCAGGAAGUGGCCGCGGCCUGACGGUGCGUGUGUGUCUGUAAAGAAGGGAGGGAGCCGGUUCAAUCUCCUCUUGUUUUUCCCAACUUCAAGAUCUAGGCAGACCCCCUUAGCGCUUGGCCAAGGCUCCUGGCCCAGCGUUUGGAGGUGGCCAACGAGUUAGCCUUGUCGGGCUGAAAAGCUAAGAAGGAAAUUUGAUCAGCAAAACAAACCAAGCCUUUUGGAGGGUUCUUCUGAUUUGGUCCCGAAAGGGUGAAGGGUCUAUUGCUAUCCACAGAGGCUGCUGUUUUCCUCCCGUCGGGCUUAAACGCCUCAAGAAGGGAGGGAGAUUCCGGCACCCUUCGCUCCCUCCACCCUCCUUUCCGAGGUAGAAUACCAGAAUAAAGUGUGUCCAGGUGCCUCUGUGGAAUCUGCUUUUUCUUGCAGUUGGAGAUGUAUGGGGCAGUGGUAGGAGAGAACCGCGGGGAAGCUGCCUAGGGUGUCUAUGGCUUUGAAAGGAUCACUUUGUAGAAAGGCAAUGUAAGGCCUUGUCACCAGGGUGGCUGUGCCAGGGGGGUUUCCAAUGCAGUCGUCAUUCAAGAGACUUGAGCUACCUACCAGCACUGUCACUCGGUAGGCUACAUAGUCCUAUGCCCCUUCAGGGGAAACCAGACACGGACAUGGGCACUCCUAAACUCCAGCACCAACUGGAAAGGCUGCAAGGUUAUAUUGCCUUCUCUGGUUGCUUGGGAGGCAGCCGCUGCCAGAUAUCCCUAACUCGGGGAAUCUGAAACCCCCAUUGCAGGUCUUGGAAGGCUCAGCAUGGCAUCCAUAAUGUGAAUGUUCAACCAAGCUACUCCCCCCCUCCAGUGCCUGCUCAAGCUUUUCUGUCCCCAGGCAGCUCCUGCUGGUCUGCUUGCCUCCUGUCUUGCCUCUUAGCCUUUCUCAGGCUUCCUCCCUCCCUUUCCUGCUCUCUCCCUGUGCCUGAGCAGGAGCUGGGGUGUUCAAGUGCCCCAGGAGGAACCUACUAGGCAGGUUUGGAGAAAGGAGGGGUCUCUUAGGUUUCUGACUUGCCCAAUUUGGGCCUCCACCAGAGACCUGAAUUGGAUUUCUUUACCUCGCUCAUUGAGUACCACAUUCCACGCACAGCCUCCUCCCUUCUUCCUUGCCCCAAGAAUAUUUGCUUCUUUCCUGAACGCAUCUCCUUUUUUUUUCCAUUCUGAGUAAUCCCAAGCGCCCGGCAUGGGUUGGACCCACCAGACGGACCAGGUCUUGCUCUCAGUGGUCUACAGCUGCUGUUCAGUGGAUUGAUUAAAACACCAUAAAUAUUUCA